GGCCCGUUGGUCAAGUGGUUAAGACACCGCCUUUUCACGGCGGUAACAUGGGUUCAAAUCCCGUACGGGUCA
rnacentral:tRNA from 1 species